rnacentral:rRNA from 1 species
CCUACGGGUGGCAGCAGUGAGGAAUAUUGGUCAAUGGCCGCGAGGCUGAACCAGCCAAGUCGCGUGAGGGAAGACUGCCCUACGGGUUGUAAACUUCUUUUGUCGAGGAGUAAAGUGACUCACGUGUGUGUUAUUGUGAGUACUCUAUGAAAAAGGAUCGGCGAACUCCGUGCCAGCAGCCGCGGUAAUACGGAGGAUCCGAGCGUUUUCCCGAUUUAUUGGGUUUAAAGGGAGCGGCGGUGGGUGGUGAAGGCAGUUGGGAAAGUUGCGGGCUCAACCCUCCAAUUGCAUUUGAAACUGGCAGCCUUGAGUACAGUAGAGGUAGGCGGAAUUCGUGGUGUAGCGGUGAAAUGCGUAGAUAUCACGCAGAACUCCGAUUGCGAAGGCAGCUUACUGGACUGCAACUGACACUGAUGCUCGAAAGCGUGGGUAUCAAACAGGAUUAGAUACCCCGGUAGUC